rnacentral:rRNA from 1 species
UACGUAGGGCGCAAGCGUUGUCCGGAAUUAUUGGGCGUAAAGAGCUCGUAGGCGGUCUGUUGCGUCUGCUGUGAAAACCCGGGGCUUAACCCCUGGCUUGCAGUGGAUACGGACAGACUAGAGGUAGGUAGGGGAGAAUGGAAUUCCCGGUGUAGCGGUGAAAUGCGCAGAUAUCGGGAGGAACACCGGUGGCGAAGGCGGUUCUCUGGGCCUUACCUGACGCUGAGGAGCGAAAGCGUGGGGAGCGAACAGG